rnacentral:rRNA from 1 species
GAUGAACGCUGGCGGCGUGCCUAAUACAUGCAAGUCGAGCGAACGGACGAGAAGCUUGCUUCUCUGAUGUUAGCGGCGGACGGGUGAGUAACACGUGGAUAACCUACCUAUAAGACUGGGAUAACUUCGGGAAACCGGAGCUAAUACCGGAUGAUAUUUUGAACCGCAUGGUUCAAAAGUGAAAGACGGUCUUGCUGUCACUUAUAGAUGGAUCCGCGCUGCAUUAGCUAGUUGGUAAGGUAACGGCUUACCAAGGCAACGAUGCAUAGCCGACCUGAGAGGGGGAAGGGCCCCCCGGGACAGGAGGACCGGUCCAACCCCCCCGGGGGGGGAGAGGGGGGGAAUUUUCCGCAAGGGGGGAAAGCCUGGCGGGGCAACGCCGGGGGGGGGAUGAAGGGCUUCGGUUGGUAAAACCUUGUUAUUGGGGAAGAACAUAUGUGGAAGUAACUGGGCCAAUUUUGACGGUCCCUAAUCAGAAAGCCCCGGCUAACUCCGU